rnacentral:rRNA from 1 species
UACGGGGGGGGCAAGCGUUGUUCGGAAUUACUGGGCGUAAAGGGCGCGUAGGCGGUUGGAUAAGUCAGCUGUGAAAACCACGGGCUUAACUCGUGGCCUGCAGUUGAGACUGUCUGGCUUGAGUGUGGGAGAGGAGAGUGGAAUUCCCGGUGUAGCGGUGAAAUGCGCAGAUAUCGGGAAGAACACCCGUGGCGAAGGCGGUUCUCUGGGACGGUACUGACGCUGAGACGCGAAAGCGUGGGGAGCGAACAGG